CACCUGUUCCCAUCCCGAACACAGAAGUUAAGCUCUUUAGCGCUGAAGAUACUUGGUGGGAAGCUGCCUGGGAAAUUAGGACGUCGCCGGUU
rnacentral:rRNA from 1 species